GACGAACGCUGGCGGCGUGCUUAACACAUGCAAGUCGAACGAUGAAGCCGGAGCUUGCUCUGGUGAAUUCGUGGCGAACGGGUGAGUAACACGUGAGUAACCUGCCCUUGACUCUGGGAUAACUGCGGGAAACUGUAGCUAAUACCGGAUACGACCCUCGGAGGCAUCUCCUGGGGGUGGAAAGAAUUUCGGUCAAGGAUGGACUCGCGGUCUAUCAGCUAGUUGGUGAGGUAAAGGCUCACCAAGGCGACGACGGGUAGCCGGCCUGAGAGGGUGACCGGCCACACUGGGACUGAGACACGGCCCAGACUCCUACGGGAGGCAGCAGUGGGGAAUAUUGCACAAUGGGCGCAAGCCUGAUGCAGCAACGCCGCGUGAGGGAUGACGGCCUUCGGGUUGUAAACCUCUUUUAGCAGGGAAGAAGCGAAAGUGACGGUACCUGCAGAAAAAGCACCGGCUAACUACGUGCCAGCAGCCGCGGUAA
rnacentral:rRNA from 1 species